rnacentral:rRNA from 1 species
CAGCCGCCGCGGUAAUACGGAGGGGGCUAGUGUUGUUCGGAAUUACUGGGCGUAAAGCGCACGUAGGCGGCUUUGUAAGUUAGAGGUGAAAGCCCGGGGCUCAACCCCGGAAUUGCCUUUAAGACUGCAGAGCUAGCAGGUGAGAGAGGUGAGUGGAAUUCCGAGUGUAGAGGUGAAAUUCGUAGAUAUUCGGAAGAGCACCAGUGGCGAAGGCGGCUUACUGGCUCAUACUGGACGCUGAGGUGCGAAAGCGUGGGGAGCAAACAGGAUUAGAUACCCGCGUAGUCCCUGUCUCUUAUAC